AAUAAGAGCUGCUCCAACAACUCCAACAACAACAACUUCUAUGAAACUAAACAAGAUAGGUAGAGACUGAAACCAGAAUCUACAUAACCCUUUUCUCAAGUCUUCCACCCACUGGCACAUCACCUACAAAACAGGAAAAAGGAGGAGCUGUAGAGAAACUUCCAUCGCAGAUCUGAGAGAGAAAUUUAUUGCUGUCAGAUGUCUGGACUGCAGACUGCCAAGAAUCAAGUACUUCAAAGGAGAACAGAUUUGAAAACAAACAAAUAAAAUACCUAAUAUGAAAAGUUGAAUUUAGGUGUUUAAAAAAAAUAAAAACCAAGACAUAUAAAAUAAAACCCGUCCCUGUUAAUGAAAAAACUUUCACUAUGUAAAACAAGGGAUAAAUGAUGCUCUCUUACCCUGUAAAGCAAUACAUUGAAUAUGGAUGAAAAUACUACUUAACAGCUGAGAGAUACCUUUUCCUGAGAGGUUGGGCAGUGUAAAUAACACAUCGUUGUCCCUUGGCAUGGAGUACAGCAUGCUCUCUUUCAAAGGGACAGUGUAGUUGGAAUGUCUAAGUACUCUCAGGUCCUUUACUAAAA